CGCUGAACUGUUCAUAAUUUAUGGAAAUGAGUGAAGUAAAUCGAAUAUCAGGACUUCUGAAAUUGCUGAAUGAAUUGAUGUUGAAAAAAAAAGCAUCGAAUUGGUUCGGGCGUUACCAUAUCUCCGAGAAGAAGUUCUAUCUUCACACGCUUCUAUGUCCAUGAUUUGCCUUAUUAGGGGACCGGGAAGGCUUAGAUUAGAAAUCCAAGCUUCUGUAGUGAAAUCUUGCAUCAUUUGUCCAAGUGCUCUCGCCAUUGGAACGAACCUUUCAGAAAAUGCAAUUAAUGUAUUAAGAUUUGAUGGGGAUUCUCAAGCCCUUACCGAGGUGUGUUCGUAGUUCUGUGCGUGCUAGUGUUAUUCCCUAUGGUGUCAGAAGGUCGUGGAAGAGCUUAUUCAUAAUACCUUGAAUGCUGAUGGGUGGAAGGGAAGUCGUAACAAGGUAUCCAUAGGGGAACCUUAUUUCAAUAGCUUUAUGCAGUGACAUUGAAAUUUCAUGAUCUCAUCAAGAUGCCCAAGGUGGAACGUUUGGCUCCUGAGGACAGGCAUUUGCUUCGAUUUCAGAUGUAUCGGUGGUGGAGAUCAUAACCAAAGCAUGUGGGAGGGCAAAUGGAUAUUGUAAAGUCAUGAAGGGUUGCAAAUGCUUGUGUCUUGGAAUUGAUGAUGAUAUGGAAGAUGUUGGUACUACUGGUAACAGUUUCAUCAUCCCUCAGUUACAUUAUAUUGUGAAAAUCGCUUACCAUGCUUUAAGACCUUGCUAGUGCUUGUAUCUGCGGGGUCAGAGUCAGAUUUUCAUGGGGAGGGGCAAUACUUCAUAUUCUAACUACACACACAUCAUACAAUCUUUUUCUUAUAUAUACAUAGUUUUUUAAUCCAAGACGAACUAAGGGUAUCUAAUCAGCUCCUUGGUAUUUGGAUAUCUGGGUAUGUGUGAGAUCCCACAUCGAUUGGAGAGGGGAACGAGUGUCAGUAAGGACGCUGGGCCCCGCAGGGGGUGG